rnacentral:rRNA from 1 species
CCUACGGGUGGCAGCAGUGGGGGAUAUUGCACAAUGGGGGGAACCCUGAUGCAGCGACGCCGCGUGGGUGAAGAAGCGCCUCGGCGCGUAAAGCCCUGGCAGCAGGGAAGAAAAUGACGGUACCUGAAGACGAAGCCCGGCUAAAUACGUGCCAGCAGCCGCGGUAAUACGUAGGGGGAAAGCGUUAUCCGGAUUUAAUGGGUGUAAAGGGGGCGCAGACGGCGAUGCACGCCAGGAGUGAAAGCCCGGGGGCCAACCCCGGGACUGCCCUUGGAACUGCGUGGCGUGAGGGCAGGAGGGGCAGGCGGAAUUCCUGGUGUAGCGGUGAAAUGCGUAGAUAUCAGGAGGAACACCGGUGGCGAAGGCGGCCUGCUGGACUGCAACUGACGUUGAGGCCCGAAAGCGUGGGGAGCAAACAGGAUUAGAUACCCUUGUAGUC